CGGGCAGUAGAUCAAUGUUAGGGCUCCCGCUUCGUAUGCGGGAAGACCUGGGUUCGAUUCUCGGCUGCUUCC
rfam:Toxocara canis scaffold84, whole genome shotgun sequence.